rnacentral:lncRNA from 1 species
GGGUGGUUUUGAAGAUAAUAUCAGCCGAGCUUCCAGUGUCGACUAAUAUUCUUGCUACAUCGAUAUCCUGGAUCGUCAGCUCGAUGACAAGGAGAUCGUUUCGAGGUUUGGCCUGAUCGGCCGUUGCUCUUUCCUUGAACGAGAUGACGUCGCUGCCAGUAAGGCUAGGCAUAUCGCUCGUUGAUCGUUCAGUGAUCUUUGAGUUAGAGAAUCCGUCCCCUCCUCCUUCUAGCCCCAAACUGUGGGAACCGAAAUUCACACCGUCGAUUUUAGUAAAUGCAGGAAAGCCAAGAUUCUAGACUUUCCUCGAGGAUCCGGAUUAUCUGCGUAAACACACGAAUACAAAAAACAAAGAGAUAACAAGAUAUCGAUGGUAAAUUGUACAGAGGCAUUUUCUUGAAUAAUAUGAAUUGAGAUACAGAGUCUCACCGAAAAUAGGAUGAACAUGAAAUUAUUAACAGCGGAGAAUCGCAUAACAAAGUAGAAAAACGUUCAAAGUAUGGAACUUGAUAGUCUAGCCACCUAAGUCAUAAACUCUCCUAAAGUUAAUAGAAAUC